rnacentral:lncRNA from 1 species
GUAAGUCAACACCUUGUUUCUUGAGAAAAGUGGGUAUAAUGAAUUUAUAACAAUAGAAAGAUUUCAACUGUAACAGAAGUCUUUUGGAUUCCUAUAUGAAAAAUUGAAAGCAAAAGCCAAGGAAAGGGGAGGAUUGAUUCAGCAAGUAGAUCAAGACUAGUAAGAAGAAAGAAUCACAAAAAGGUAUAUUAAACCCAAAAUUAUUUCCAAUAUAUACUCCUCUAUUUUCAUAUCAAGCUAUAUAUCAUGUCCUCAUCUUCUUCAUAUACUGUUUUGUUCAAAGAUAUGAAACUCUACUGUAGUCAAAAUCAUACUCAGCUGGCCAGAUGAGCGAAGGGAGACGGGAGGAUUGAAUCGGAAAGUCAAUCGAGGCGAGCAAAGAUACG